CCAAAUGAAUUCCGAGGGGAGGUCACUAAUGAGAAACACACCCACACCCUCGUGCUGGGGCCAAGCUGCCAAGCUGCUACUUAGCGAGCAAGUACGGACCUCUCCUCGCAGGCUCCGGUGGGAGAGACUCCUGGAAGGGCGCGAGCCGGGAAGGUAGAGAAACUGAAGAGAUGAAGACUGCACGGGGUAGUUGUUGGAAAGGCUCGGAUCACCCUCAACCCAGCCCCGUCUUGUCUGGCCCCAAAAGGCCCAUCUCGGCCGAGCUACUCACACUUUGUACGGCAGCCGUGGGUCCGACGUCAGCGUGAUCUUAAAGGAAACCUUCGACCUAAGGAAAGGAGCGGGAGAGAGUCAGGGUCGCGCAGCGGGACCAGGGAUUAAGGCAGUCGGUUCCCUUGGAGUUCUCUGCUGGUGGACUUCUGCUCUGAUCCACAGUCUUCGGGUGCUGCCCAGUAGCAGAGUAACUGUUUGAUCUUUUUAACCCAAGUUCAUCCUCUCAGACACGUUAGCCCUUUUGAGGUAUCCUAUAAAAUACUGAGGUAUGUGAAAGAAUAUUUCUUUUUAAGUACUAUUUAGAUUUUAUUUCUUCCUAAAUUUCUUCCCUAACUACUUUCAUCAGAUGGAUUAUAAAUGGUUUCUACUAAAAAUCACUCAGCAACUUUACAUAGAUAGCUGUGCCACAUUAACUGAUAGUACUCAGUGCAGAAAUCAAUCACACCCACCUCUCCUGGCUGUGACAUUUUCCAUAACUAAUCUAAAAGACUUCCUGUUGUCUACUACCUUUAAUUAAAUUUUCUAUCACAGGCAACCUUUUGCAUACGAAUUACUUUUUUGUUAAUAUUGUAUCUUUUUGUAAUGUUUUUGAAGACAUUUUAAGAAACAGUAAUCCAAAUUUAAGCUAAAAUUCCAAAGCAUGUAUGACUUCCAAUGAAUAUAAUUCAACAGGGGUAUGAAUUGAUGGAGAGAAAAUCUUCCAUUUGGCCUCAGUGUUAAGGCUUGGGUUCUUGCCCUUGUUUGUAAGGCGACUUAAAUUUCUGCUUCCAGUCCUGUUCAGUACCCCAUAAAGCACUUUUGUAUGAAUGAGAAAAAAAACAUUGCUUCUGGCAACUGCAACAUAAUGGGCAUGUAGCUUGACAAGCAUAUCACAGGCUGCAUUUCAGACUCCGCUUACCCUCUCCAUCAGGCACCAUCCUGCAGGGCUGUUGUAUGCAGUGAAUUUAUUUGGAACCAAUGACAUGCUCAUCUGAUAAAAAGCACAACAGUUAAUGUAGUUACAGGUGAGAACUCAAGCAGCUUCACUCCAAGUGCUGAUUCUUCUGCCUCAGAAUUUCCUUAGUUUUCCUUAAUUCAAAGUAGAAUUAAGUAGGUUUCAUAGGACAGAUUCUCCUUAGGCAUCAGAGUCCACAUAACCAAAGUAAGAAAUGCACUGGAAUAUGGACAUCUGAUGAAGUCGCUUGAUAGGCUGAUCCCUAGAUACAGUCCCUGUACCUCUAACUUCCAGCUAAAUAGAGAAAACUGUCAUGAAUGGCCCACUAUUCUCUGGGAUUCUGACUGCAUUGAUCACAUCAGGGUUCACAUGGAUAUUUACCUUAGGCAGCGCAGUAUUUCCAAGACUUCCAGAGGAUCCAUCUGUACGUGUACUCUUAUUCUUUCCUACCUUAUUAAAACCCUUCCCCUGUGUCAUCUCAAACUUCAGUUUUCUCACCCUAAAACUCUCCUACAUCCUCCAACUCUGCCAUAAGUGUUCUCUAUGUUUUUAAAACCUCCUGCCCCACAGAUGAGUGUACUUUCCCUUCACACUCUUCAAGUCGAGAUCUAUGAUUUUUCACUUUCUGUACCUCAAGGUCUUGAUGAGGUUAAAUAUACUCUAUUUAUUUCAUGUGACUUGAGACUCUAUUAAAUGUGACUUUAUUCUUUCUCAUACUGCCCCUUCAAGCCCAUUCUCUCAAGUUGUUCUUGCCUGUGUCUUGGUAAAAAUCACAGGACCCAUAGAUUUUCCUGGUGAUUCUCAGUUACUUUUAGGUAGUACAAUGUCCAUUGUAGUUUAAUGAUCACAUAAAUGUAAAACUUCCCCUCUUUCCUGGUUUGUGACUACAAACUGUAGGUGAAAGGCAGCUAUAGUUGGCUUCUUCCUAAUUCUUACACCAACUCUGUCACUGCAUGUCACCACCUGCUGUUUGGAGCCCCUCCAGGGUCCUAGUGGAAGAAAGGGGAAGUGAUAAGGGAAAGAAAAGCUGUUACUUGUCUGGUGCAUGUAUAAUGUAGCAUGUUGCAUUCUGUCCUUCAGGUGACAAAACUCCCACUCUUUCUUCUGUUGGAGCUUUGGUGGGUUCUCAGGAGACGAUUCCUGGGUAUCUCUCAAUUAUGUUAUUUUCAACCUGAGAAAUUCUGCAUCUGACUGGCCAUGUACAACUCUGGUUUACCCCCCUUGUUUUUCUUAAAUGUUUGCAUCUUCUGGGUCAUUUCACAUUUCCAGGUAGGCCUCUUGAAUGAAGCUUUCUCAAGACUACUUAAUUUUGGUUCUUGGAUAAGAUCCAUGUCUGGCCACAGGAAAUUUCCAUAUAUUCUGGCACCCUCUAAAGUCUUAGACUAGGCUCAUCAAUUAGUAGCCAUGUUUGCCCAGGAGACUUACCCAUUUUCAUAGCUGAAAGUCCCAUCUCCUGGAAACUCCCUCAGCCCUGGGAAAACCAAACCUCUUGGUCAUUGUGCCUUGAGGUACAGAAAAAUUCUCCCUUCUCUGAUGCCUGUAGGGCCAGCUAUUACCAAGCCAUCUCACAUUUAAAUUCUAAUAGGUAGGAGGCAGAUACCUGUUCUUAUAAUA